rnacentral:rRNA from 1 species
AUGGAGAAUGUGCAGUAUGCCGAAGAACUCGUGAGGGAGUUUCUUGUCUUCAGGGGUUUCACGAACACGCUGCAAGCUUACGAGGCAGAAUUGUCCACCGAGAUCGGCAGGAACUUUGAAGUAGACAAGAUCCUAGAUUUAGUGUUCUCAGUGUACAUACCAAAAUACCAACUGGAUAGACUGCUAAGCAUCUUCAGCUUUUUAAAACAGUGUUUCACUUCACCUGCGGACACGGUACUCUACACGGCGCUUCUUAAACUGGAGCAGUCAGUAUUACGCUAUUAUGUUGUCAAUGCCUUGAAAUCUGGAAGGCAAGAAAAAGUUGUUGAAUUCUUUAGCGCAAGCGGCAGUUAUCUGAUGCAAAAGCGUGAAGAUUGGAUAGCAUGGUUUGCUAUACCAUAUAUUAAGAACCCAAGCUUGGAUCCACAGUUCCGUAUGUAUUUUUCCAAAGAAUGGUCAGACACUUUGGUUCUUUCAUUUCGGAACUUCUUAAGUGGGAUAUUCAAUGGUACUCGAAUCCCAGCUCUUUUGAAGAUUAGCACUGAAAAAAACAUGAUCAAGUGCCUCAAGAGUGACAUAAAGCAACUGAAUAACAAAUUGUCAGAACUGCAAGCAUUGUUAGAGGUGAAGGAAGUUGAACUAUCUCUGCUGAGAAGGAGUGGUAAUAGUAUUGAUUCUGGACACAAGAAUUUACUCAAGAUUACUACAGCUGGUUCUUCCGCUGAUGGACAAGCUUCCUCAGGAGUCUACGAAGAAUCCUCAACUUCAAGUAUACAGGGUGUUGACUCACAUACUUUGAGUUCAGUAAAAUCAAGAGAUGAGAAAUUGUGCGAUUCUUCUUGGAUGAGCAAUGCAGAAAAUGAGCAGAUUUUGGUGACAGAGGAAGAUUUUCCUGAAGUGAAGGUGGAUUUUCAGGAAACAUUUUUAGGCCAUAACAGUUCCAUAAGUAGCUGUCGGUUUUCUGCUUCUGGAUCAAAUAUUGCCAGUUCUUCGACUGAUGGCACAGUGAGAAUUUGGACAUACGACUCAUCAACACCAUCAUCAAAAAAUGCAACUAUAUACUGUGGAGCUGAAGUCAGAGCACUUUCUUGGGAAUGCAGAUCUGACCGCUUGCUGCUCAUAGGCACAGCUAAUGGAGGCAUUAAAGCUUGGAAUGCUGAUGCAAAGAGAGUUGUUUGUGACCUCAGUACAUCCAAGGACUUCCCAAGUGUGCUUGAUUUGAAGUGUAGCCCUGUAGAUCCCGUGUUCGUCUCCGCAGCUGCAUCGAGACGGCAUGGAUCAACUAUAUUUGACAGAACAGGAUUUGCCUCCUUGACAGUAUGGCAUAUGAAAACAUGGAAGCCUCUGACAGUCCUCCCUCUUGGCGAGGAUCCACCUGCUAUUACUUCACUUUGCUUCAAUCACAAUGGGAAGAUCUUGGCAGCCUCUGCAACAGAUGGCAUGAUUCACAUGUUUGACAUGUCUGCUGGUCUACAAAUCACCGGAUGGCCUGCUCAUGAUUCCCCUGUCAGCUCAGUUCUUUUUGGGCCAGCUGAAACAAGCAUCUUCAGUUUAGGCUCAGAUGGAAAGAUAUUUGAGUGGAGCUUGCACAAUCAAGGUCAGAUUAUUUGGUCAAGAGAUUGCAGUAGGUUUUGUAACCCUGAGAGCUUUAACAAACACAUGCAUGAGGUAGCGUUGGAUUCUAAUGGCAAGAGACUUCUUGCUUCUUCGGGUUUGGUUCGGGCUCCAAUAUACCAGGUGCAAGGCCAUGAGAGAGGGUUGAGGACACUUCCUCAUACUGCACCUAUAACAAGUGUGGACUGGCACCCCACGCGGCCAAUCUAUGUUACUGGUUCUGAAGACCACUCUGUCCGCGUCACAUCCAUUCUAUGA